rnacentral:rRNA from 1 species
CAGUCGCCGCGGUAAUACGUAGGUGGCAAGCGUUGUCCGGAAUUAUUGGGCGUAAAGGGAGCGUAGGCGGAUCGUUUAGUCAGGGGUGAAAUCCCGAGGCUCAACCUCGGAACUGCCUUUGAUACUGGGGAUCUCGAGUCCGGGAGAGGUGAGUGGAACUGCGAGUGUAGAGGUGAAAUUCGUAGAUAUUCGCAAGAACACCAGUGGCGAAGGCGGCUCACUGGCCCGGAACUGACGCUGAGGUGCGAAAGCGUGGGGAGCGAACAGGAUUAGAUACCCCAGUAGUCCCUGUCUCUUAUAC